CAGUCGCCGCGGUAAUACGAAGGGGGCUAGCGUUGCUCGGAAUUACUGGGCGUAAAGGGAGCGUAGGCGGAUCGUUUAGUCAGGGGUGAAAUCCCGGGGCUCAACCUCGGAACUGCCUUUGAUACUGGCGAUCUUGAGUAUGGGAGAGGUGUGUGGAACUCCGAGUGUAGAGGUGAAAUUCGUAGAUAUUCGGAAGAACACCAGUGGCGAAGGCGACACACUGGCCCAUUACUGACGCUGAGGCUCGAAAGCGUGGGGAGCAAACAGGAUUAGAUACCCGUGUAGUCCCUGUCUCUUAUAC
rnacentral:rRNA from 1 species